GGAAUUUUCCGCAAUGGGCGAAAGCCUGACGGAGCAACGCCGCGUGAGGGAUGAAGGCCUCUGGGCUGUAAACCUCUUUUCUCAAGGAAGAAGAUCUGACGGUACUUGAGGAAUAAGCCACGGCUAAUUCCGUGCCAGCAGCCGCGGUAAUACGGGAGUGGCAAGCGUUAUCCGGAAUUAUUGGGCGUAAAGCGUCCGCAGGCGGCCUUGUAAGUCUGUCGUUAAAGCGUGGAGCUUAACUCCAUUUCAGCGAUGGAAACUACAAGGCUUGAGUGUGGUAGGGGCAGAGGGAAUUCCCGGUGUAGCGGUGAAAUGCGUAGAUAUCGGGAAGAACACCAGUGGCGAAGGCGCUCUGCUGGGCCAUAACUGACGCUCAUGGACGAAAGCCAGGGGAGCGAAAGGGAUUAGAUACCCCUGUAGUC
rnacentral:rRNA from 1 species